rnacentral:misc_RNA from 1 species
GCAAACUUGGUCAUUUAGAGGAAGUAAAAGUCGUAACAAGGUUUCCGUAGGUGAACCUGCGGAAGGAUCAUUACCGAGUUAGGGUGUUUCCGUUUCGACGGCGCCCGACCUCCCAACCCUGUGUCUAUUGAACCUUUUUCUUGUUGCUUCGGUGGGCCGGUCUCACGACCGCCGGGCCAGCAGGCCUGGAGUGCCGCCCACCGACGGCCUCAACCACAAACUCUUGUACCAAAACGUGUCGUCUAAAUACUUUUAUUGCAAAAUAAAAACAAAACUUUCAACAACGGAUCUCUUGGUUCUGGCAUCGAUGAAGAACGCAGC